UACGAAGGGGGCUAGCGUUGCUCGGAAUUACUGGGCGUAAAGGGAGCGUAGGCGGGUUAUCAAGUUGGAGGUGAAAGCCCAGGGCUCAACCUUGGAAUUGCCUUCAAAACUGAUAGCCUAGAGUAUGAUAGAGGUAUGUGGAACUCCGAGUGUAGAGGUGAAAUUCGUAGAUAUUCGGAAGAACACCAGUGGCGAAGGCGACAUACUGGGUCAUGACUGACGCUGAGGCACGAAAGCCAGGGGAGCGAACGGG
rnacentral:rRNA from 1 species